GGCGGCGUGGAUAAGACAUGCAAGUCGAACGGGAUUACUUUUGUAGCAAUACAGAAGUAAUUCAGUGGCGAACGGGUGCGUAACACGUGGGCAAUCUGCCGAAAAGUGGGGGAUAGCUCGCCGAAAGGCGAAUUAAUACCGCAUGUGGUGAGGGACGACAUCUUCCUGAAUCCAAAGCCGGGGCAACCUGGCGCUUUUUGAGGAGCCCGCGGCCUAUCAGCUAGUUGGUGAGGUAACGGCUCACCAAGGCUAUGACGGGUAGCUGGUCUGAGAGGACGACCAGUCACACUGGAACUGAGACACGGUCCAGACACCUACGGGUGGCAGCAGUCGAGAAUUUUUCUCAAUGGGGGAAACCCUGAAGGAGCGACGCCGCGUGGAGGAUGAAGGCUUUCGGGUUGUAAACUCCUGUCAUUUGGGAACAAGGUGCACACGUUAACUGCGUGGGUAUUGAUAGUACCAGAAGA
rnacentral:rRNA from 1 species